rnacentral:rRNA from 1 species
CGGGACGGGGUGGAGUAAUGUCUGGGAAACUGCCCGAUGGAGGGGGAUAACUACUGGAAACGGUAGCUAAUACCGCAUAACGUCGCAAGACCAAGAGGGGACCGUUCGGGCCUCUUGCCAUCGGAUGUGCCCAGAUGGGAUUAGCUAGUAGGUGGGGUAACGGCUCACCUAGGCGACGAUCCCUAGCUGGUCUGAGAGGAUGACCAGCCACACUGGAACUGAGACACGGUCCAG